AAUGUUGGGUUAAGUCCCGCAACGAGCGCAACCCUUAUCCUUUGUUGCCAGCGGUCCGGCCGGGAACUCAAAGGAGACUGCCAGUGAUAAACUGGAGGAAGGUGGGGAUGACGUCAAGUCAUCAUGGCCCUUACGAGUAGGGCUACACACGUGCUACAAUGGCGCAUACAAAGAGAAGCGACCUCGCGAGAGCAAGCGGACCUCAUAAAGUGCGUCGUAGUCCGGAUUGGAGUCUGCAACUCGACUCCAUGAAGUCGGAAUCGCUAGUAAUCGUAGAUCAGAAUGCUACGGUGAAUACGUUCCCGGGCCUUGUACACACCGCCCGUCACACCAUGGGAGUGGGUUGCAAAAGAAGUAGGUAGCUUAACCUUCGGGAGGGCGCUUACCACUUUGUGAUUCAUGACUGGGGUGAAGUCGUAACAAGGUAACCGUAGGGGAACCUGCGGUUGGAUCACCUCCUUACCUUAAAGAA
rnacentral:rRNA from 2 species